rnacentral:rRNA from 1 species
AGAACGAACGCUGGCGGCAUGCCUAACACAUGCAAGUCGAACGCUUGUAGCAAUACAAGAGUGGCGCACGGGUGAGUAGCGCGUGGGAACCUGCCCUGGAGUGGGGGAUAACCGAGGGAAACUUCGGCUAAUACCGCAUACGACCUGAGGGUGAAAGAUUUAUCGCUCUAGGAGGGGCCCGCGUCGGAUUAGCUAGUUGGUGGGGUAACGGCCUACCAAGGCUACGAUCCGUAGCUGGUCUGAGAGGAUGGCCAGCCACACUGGGACUGAGACACGGCCCAGACUCCUACGGGAGGCAGCAGUGGGGAAUAUUGGACAAUGGGGGCAACCCUGAUCCAGCAAUGCCGCGUGAGUGAUGAAGGCCUUAGGGUUGUAAAGCUCUUUCGGCGGGGACGAUGAUGACGGUACCCGCAGAAGAAGCCCCGGCUAACUUCGUGCCAGCAGCCGC